rnacentral:rRNA from 1 species
CAGGUGGUCAGGUAGAGAAUACCAAGGCGCUUGAGAGAACUCGGGUGAAGGAACUAGGCAAAAUGGUGCCGUAACUUCGGGAGAAGGCACGCUGACACGUAGGUGAAGUGAUUUACUCAUGGAGCUGAAGUCAGUCGAAGAUACCAGCUGGCUGCAACUGUUUAUUAAAAACACAGCACUGUGCAAACACGAAAGUGGACGUAUACGGUGUGACGCCUGCCCGGUGCCGGAAGGUUAAUUGAUGGGGUCAGCGCAAGCGAAGCUCCUGAUCGAAGCCCCGGUAAACGGCGGCCGUAACUAUAACGGUCCUAAGGUAGCGAAAUUCCUUGUCGGGUAAGUUCCGACCUGCACGAAUGGCGUAAUGAUGGCCAGGCUGUCUCCACCCGAGACUCAGUGAAAUUGAACUCGCUGUGAAGAUGCAGUGUACCCGCGGCAAGACGGAAAGACCCCGUGAACCUUUACUAUAGCUUGACACUGAACAUUGAGCCUUGAUGUGUAGGAUAGGUGGGAGGCUUUGAAGUGUGGACGCCAGUCUGCAUGGAGCCGACCUUGAAAUACCACCCUUUAAUGUUUGAUGUUCUAACGUGGACCCGUAAUCCGGGUUGCGGACAGUGUCUGGUGGGUAGUUUGACUGGGGCGGUCUCCUCCUAAAGAGUAACGGAGGAGCACGAAGGUUGGCUAAUCCUGGUCGGACAUCAGGAGGUUAGUGCAAUGGCAUAAGCCAGCUUGACUGCGAGCGUGACGGCGCGAGCAGGUGCGAAAGCAGGUCAUAGUGAUCCGGUGGUUCUGAAUGGAAGGGCCAUCGCUCAACGGAUAAAAGGUACUCCGGGGAUAACAGGCUGAUACCGCCCAAGAGUUCAUAUCGACGGCGGUGUUUGGCACCUCGAUGUCGGCUCAUCACAUCCUGGGGCUGAAGUAGGUCCCAAGGGUAUGGCUGUUCGCCAUUUAAAGUGGUACGCGAGCUGGGUUUAGAACGUCGUGAGACAGUUCGGUCCCUAUCUGCCGUGGGCGCUGGAGAACUGAGGGGGGCUGCUCCUAGUACGAGAGGACCGGAGUGGACGCAUCACUGGUGUUCGGGUUGUCAUGCCAAUGGCACUGCCCGGUAGCUAAAUGCGGAAGAGAUAAGUGCUGAAAGCAUCUAAGCACGAAACUUGCCCCGAGAUGAGUUCUCCCUGAGACUUAGAGUCUCCUGAAGGAACGUUGAAGACGACGACGUUGAUAGGCCGGGUGUGUAAGCGCAGCGAUGCGUUGAGCUAACCGGUACUAAUGAACCGUGAGGCUUAACCUUACAAC